rnacentral:rRNA from 1 species
AGCGAACGCUGGCGGCAGGCCUAACACAUGCAAGUCGAACGAAGUCUUCGGACUUAGUGGCGGACGGGUGAGUAACACGUGGGAACGUACCUUUUGGUUCGGAACAACUCAGGGAAACUUGAGCUAAUACCGGAUGAGCCCUUAGGGGGAAAGAUUUAUCGCCGAAAGAGCGGCCCGCGUUAGAUUAGCUAGUUGGUGAGGUAAAGGCUCACCAGGGCUACAAUCUAUAGCUGGUCUGAGAGGAUGAUCAGCCACACUGGGACUGAGACACGGCCCAGACUCCUACGGGAGGCAGCAGUGGGGAAUCUUGCGCAAUGGGCGAAAGCCUGACGCAGCCAUGCCGCGUGAAUGAUGAAGGUCUUAGGAUUGUAAAAUUCUUUUACCAGGGACGAUAAUGACGGUACCUGGAGAAAAAGCCCCGGCUAACUUCGUGCCAGCCGCCGCCGUAAUAC